AGGUCAUCUCAAAGAGGGCUUAUGGGGCUAUGAAACCAAGAGCUCAUAAUGCUGUGACCAAAGAUUGAAGUUCUCCAGAGGAUGCCAUAGUCACUCAAUGGUGCUAUGUUCUCCUGAGGAAAUAUAGGA